rnacentral:lncRNA from 1 species
UUUGUCUUUGUUCAUACAGUUCUUUUAACAUUUGUAAUUCUUUUUCUAAUUCAGCAAUUCUACUAUUUUUGGUUUCUUCUAUUUUUCGUAUUUCUUCUGUAGUUUGUUGUUUUAUUUUUUCUAUUUCUUUUUUCCUAUCUAUUUCUUCAUUUUCUCUUUCUAUUCUUACCAUAGCUGUCAAUUUAUCUUCUAAUUUUUAUUCUUCUUUUUCUAACAUUAAAUAUAAAUGUUCACCAAUUUUCUUAUAUCUUCUUCUUAGAUUAGAAAAUACUAUUUUU